AAUAGACCCCAGUGUUUAGUACUCCCCUCCCUGUGUCCUCACACUUGGUCGAAGAGGACGACCAUCCCCGAUAGAGGAGGACCGGUCUUCGGUCAAGGGUAUGCGCUCCCCUGCUAGAACCUCCAAACAAGCUCUCCAGCAUUGUUUUCUUUAGUGGUUAAAGUUUCAGACAACAGUGCUUUCAGUUUCAGAGAUAAAUACU
rnacentral:snRNA from 1 species